CAAACCAAAGCUGGCGACCGGCGCACGGGUGAGUAACACGUAUCCAACCUGCCUCAUACUCGGGGAUAGCCUUUCGAAAGAAAGAUUAAUAUCCGAUAGCAUAUAUUUCCCGCAUGGGUUUUAUAUUAAAGAAAUUCGGUAUGAGAUGGGGAUGCGUUCCAUUAGUUUGUUGGGGGGGUAACGGCCCACCAAGACUACGAUGGAUAGGGGUUCUGAGAGGAAGGUCCCCCACAUUGGAACUGAGGCACGGUCCAA
rnacentral:rRNA from 1 species